UGAAAGACACACAUGCAGUUCAUGUGCACACUGCCUGUUGCUCAGACUGAGAGCUGAGCUGAGCUGAGGUGGAACAGACACACUCCUGCAGAGGGACAUGUGCCACAUUCCUCCUCAGAGCCUGCUCUGUGUGCUGGUGGCCUUGGCUUUGUCUGGAUGUAAUAUGGCCCAGAAAGUGACUCAGGCUCACUCAUCAGCAAGCAGGCAGGAGGGGGAAGAAGUCACCCUGGAGUGUUCAUAUGAGACAAGUUAUGGCUCAUAUUAUCUUUUUUGGUACAAGCAGCUUCUUAGUGGAGAGAUGGUUUUCCUUAUUCUCCAACCUUCUUUUGAUUCUCAGAACCAGAGGAGAGGCCGCUAUUCUGUAAUCUUCCAGCAAUCACUCAAGUCCAUCAGCCUUGUCAUUUCAGCCUCUCAGCCAGAGGAUUCGGGGACGUAUUUCUGUGCUCUCUGGGAAACUGACACAGUGUUUGAAGUGAUAGCACAAGCUGAACAAAAACUGGGGCUCCUUAAGCAGAGGCUCCCUGAGAGAGGGAGCCCAGCUGAGAUGCACACCUGCACAUCCUGAACAAGAAGAUGUCAACUGUGGAUGCCCCGUCUGUGGUCUGCAUGAGAACUGUGUUUCUAAGUAAAACCUCAGGGCAUGCAAUUUAGAAAUAAUUAUCGUGAGCGGCUUUGUAUACUACACUGACUUAAAACAGAGUUAAAAAUAGACUGCUGAGAAUAUGUGUAAUAUUUUCUUCACUUGGGAAUCUUGCACCACAAUAAUUUGAAGUUUCUCUUUAAUUUGUUAACAGAACAUACCUCAGAGGAGGCAUCUGGAAUAGCAAAGAGCAUAAUUUCCUGGAGAAAGCUACACUCAGAAGGAGAUCCAGCAUGAAUGUGGUAGUCAGAGACAGACUAUAAGGAUUUCUCUCCAUGAAAUACUGGUGGUGACUCCACCAAUCUUUACCUUUGUAUCUAAUGCUGAGCCUGAGGUACUGAAGUUCAGCUUAACCAGCAGUUGGGGAGGACAGGUACAUGAGCAUAGCACCUGGCUGUCCUGAGAUUUGUGAGAAUUCAGUGAGACCCAGAAAGCCAAUGGAAUCUAGAAGGAUAAACCUCCCUCACCUCCUCAGUCCCUCUGGUUUGGGGGAGCAUCAGAAGAAGUCACGCCAUUUGCCAAUGUGAUGCAGACUUGACCUGAAUAAAGAAAAGCUGUAGAAGUGAGGAGUAGAGAGUUAAUGGUAAAGUGAGCUGGAAUCUAAUGGACAUCAAAUAUUUAUGGGGCCUGAAUCUGCAGGGCUAUAUAAAAAUAAUUAAAUAUAUCACACCUGUUUCUUAAGUCUUCUACAGCUGCCUUUUCCAUGUCCACCCCCAAAACACAGCAACAUGGAGAAGGAAAUUCUGUGAAAUGUGUUUCUAGAUAGGUUUUUAAAGAUUAUUUUUUAGAUCAUGUGUGUAACCUUUUUGUCAGCAUGUAUAUAUGUGUACUGGGUGAAGUCUGGUGCUCAUGGAGGCCAGAAAGGGAUAUUAGAUUCUGGAAAUUGGCGUUAUUGGAGGAAAGGAUUUACCAUGUGGAUGUCAGGCACUGAAUCUAAGGCCUCUGCAAAAGCAGUGACUGCUUUUAAUUAGGGAGUGUAUGAUCCAGCCCCUGUUUCUAGGUAAUUUGCAUAAACUGUACAUGAUAAAGAAGGUAAAUAACUUCAAUUCACCAAUUAAAAACCAUAGGCUACCUGGGGGCAUUAACAAAGAAUACUAUCUGUGUCUCCAGGAAACACUUCCCAUAGCUAAGAACAUCAAACACUGAAAGUCAAUCCAUAGAGAUCAGCAUCGGAAGUAAUUGACAGCUGUAAACAUGGCACUGCACGUCUCAUAUUUGACAAAGGAGACUUCAGGCCACAGCUACUCAGAGAGCUGAGGAGAGCCACUGCAUAGCCACAGAGGGCAAGUCUUGUGCAUGUGAGUACACGGAGCAUGGCUCCCGGUUCAACAAAAUAAACUCUAAUUGACAGAAAAUGUCACAUGGGUCCCUAAUCAGUAAUGAUCUUAGACUUCAAUGUUUCACUGUGACUUUGGCAAGUCUUCCUAAAUUAAAAACCAACAAAGAAACUUCAGAGCAAGAGAUUCUGCAAGUCCACCUCUCUGAAUUUGGCAGGAGAAUCCCAGGCAGGGAAGGGAAGCCAAUGUGCACUCAGAGAACUCACUGAAUGCAAGCGACAGAAUCUUAGCAGACGUAAAAUUUAUGUUCUUUACUGUAAGAAGCAAAAGCCUGAGAAGUCAACAAGGGACACAAAUUUAAAGAACGUUUUAAUGAAUAAAUAAGUGUAAUAUCCUAUGAAUUUGUUAGUAGUUGUCCUUUUUAACGGUUCCUCAGGAGUGGUAUAGCUGGGUCCUCAGGUAGCACUGUUUCCAAUUUUCUAAGGAACCUCUAGAUGGAUUUCCAGAGUGGUUGUACCAGCUUGAAAUCCCAUCAAAAACAGAGAAGUGUUCCUCUUUCUCUACAUCCUCGCCAGCAUCUGUUGUCACCUAAGUUCUUUAUCUUAGCCAUUCUGACUGGUGUGAGGUGGAAUCUCAGGGUUGUUUUGAUUUGCAUUUCCCUAAUAACUAAGGUGCUUCUCAGUGAUUCGAUAUCCCAGAAAAUUGUACAUAGUAUUACCUGAGAAGGCAGCUACACCACUCGUGGGCAUAUUCCCAAAAGAUGCUCCAACUAUAACAAGCACACGUGCUCCACUUUGUUCAUAGCAGCCUUAUUUAUAAUAUCCAGAAGUUGGAAGCAACCCAGAUGUCCCUCAACAGAGUAAUGGAUACACGAAAUGUGGUACAUUUAUACACCGGAGUACUACUCAGCUAUUAAAAACAAUGACUUCAUGAAAUUCAUUGGCAAAUGGAUGGAACUAGAAAAUACCCUGAGUGAGGUAACCAAAUCACACACAAAAAAAAGAAAACCACACACACACACACACACACACACACACACACAGAGAGAGAGAGAGAGAGAGAGAGAGAGAGAGAGAGAAUGUACUCACUGGCAAGUUGAUAUAAGGCCAAAAGCUUGGAUUCCCCAAGAUACAAUCCACAGAACACAUGAAGUUCAUUAAGAAGGAUAACCAAAGUGCUUAUACUUCAGUUCUUCUUAGAAGGGGGAACAAACGUAUUCACAGGGAGAGAUAUGGAGACAACGUUUGGAGCAGAGACUGAAGGAAAGGACAGCCAGAGACUGCUCCACCUGGGGAUCCAGCCCAUGUACAUAUAACCACCAAACACAGACACUAUUGUUGAUGCCAAGAAGUGAUGCUGACAGAAGUCUGAUAUAGCUGUCUCCUGAGAGUCUUUGCCAGAGCAUGACAAAUUGAGUGGCAAAUGCUUGUAGCCAACCAUUGAACUGAGAAUAGGUCCCCAUUAGAGGAGUUAGAAUAAGAAUCAAAGGAGCUGAAGGGGUUUGUCACCCCAGAACAACAAUACCAACCAACCAGAGCCCCCAGGGACUAAAUCACCAUCCAAAGGGUACACAUGAACAGACCCAUGGCUCCUCUGCAUAUGGAGACGAUGGCCUUGUUGGACACGAAAGGGAGGAGAAGCCCUUGGUCCUGCCAAGGCUGG
rnacentral:lncRNA from 1 species